AUCUCUGUCCUUUCCCAUGAUACCUAUGUUUUUUUAAACAAUAAUCCAGAUUCAUCAACUCAUACUAAUACUAUUAUGCUCUAAACGACAAAUUUAUUUCCUAGUAGUUUUCGAUAAUUAAAUUCUCUCCAACCUACCCAUGAAAGAAAGAAGUGCCACGUAAAUCAGAUUACUAAAUGACCCCAUUAUUCUCCAUUCGGCAUUUGAUGAGGCAAUAAUGUUUACCAAAUUUUUGAAAAUCGUAUUAAUAAAGAAAUGGUGUUGGAAAAUGUGGACAUUGAGAUCUGUCUCCUCAAAGGCUUUUGACUUGUCAAAAUAUUAGCUGGAAAUCUUAAAAUUACUUUUUAAAGUAAAAAAGUAAUAAAAAGAAGAAUGACUGACCCGUCAAGGAGAUGGAGGAGAGCUUCCAAGUUAUGAGCCGUAGAAAGAUCAACGGUGGGCUUAAGGAACGGAGACUUCUGAUGAUCCAACGGCAGCAUUUCUCCCACGUGGCUAUAGCACCACGGCAAUCCUCCCGCCAAUUUCAUUAGCGCCUGUGGCGCACGCUCGUUCAGAAACAGUCCCGGCGAUUUCGCCACGACGUCGUGCUCGUUCACCACUCUCAACACCUUCACUCCCAAUUUCUCAAUCCUCUCCUUGAAUCGAAUGUUCCCAACUCGCGGUCCUCCGUACGUGAACGCCGUCACCGGAAUCACUUUUCCUUUCCUCGUUCUGUUCACACCCAUCUCCGCCACGUCGUACGCGCUUAGCACCGCCAGCGCACCGCCGAGACUGUGUCCCGUCACGGUGAUGCUCAGUUCUUCUCCUUCCUCGUCGCCGUACCUUUCCACCAGCCGCUUCACUUCCGUAAGAACCUGCUCUCGCGCCGAGAAUUUGGAGAAAUUGCAGGAUGUAUCUUUGUCCGUGUAUAGAUCCAGAAACCCGGAUUCGGCUUUUACGGCCGGGUCGGGGCAUCGGAAUCCGUUUCCGGAUACCGGUUUGAGGAAAUCCUUGAGAUCAGCUAUCCACUCGAGCCGCGUGACAGUCCCUCUCCAGGCGAUGGCAAUGUCGCGGCGUCCUAAACGGCAGCGCGUGGCUUCGUUGUCGUCGGAUACAGCCACG